UAGCAUGAUUCCGCCUUUAAUUGUUAAUUGCAUGCUUAUUGAUGUUGCUUAAAUGAACAUGUUUUCACAAAAUUUUCCUUCAAGUGGUAUCAGAGCCUAGGUCUAGUAGUUGGUGAAUCCUUUUGUGUUUUGUAGUUCAUAGUUUGUGAUUUAAAAGUUGUAAUUGUUACAAGCUUUAUUCUUGUUUUUUGAAUGUAAAUUUUGCUAGAAAAUUUGCCAUCUCAAAUGUUGUAGAUGUAGUUCAUAUGAGCAUGAAUAUUGGAGCUAAAAUUUGGUGCCAUGACUUUGGGAAUUUUCGGCCAAAUCCAAAGGGUGGAUUUUUGGGUUCUUGUUUGACUUGUUAAAAGUGUUUUCAAGUGACUUUUGGAACCCCUAUGUACCCUAGUUUGGUUAGAUGUUAUUUCCCUAAAGUUUGAAUGGUUUUGGAAUGUUUUUGGGUGGAAAAAGUUCAUGGAAAAAUUUUGGGUUUUUCAUGAAUGUUCUUCAUUGUUCUUGACAUUUUUGCCAAGAACAAAAAGGUUUGUGUUUUGAUUCAAAGUUUUGAUUUAUUUCAUAAAGUUUAUGUUUUAUGCAUUUUCAAAUGUUUAAAUGUUUUAGAUAUUUGUUUAAAUGGUGUAAGAGGUGUAAGAGAUGUAAGAGAUAUGGUGAUGGGUGUGUAAGGAUUAAUUUCCUUUCACACACACCACUUGCACCACUUGCAAGCUUUAUGUCUAAAACUCACAAAUCAACACACACAUCACUCUAUCCUCUUCCAAAACCGGCCACCCUUGCAAGUGGGGUACUUUUGGGGCUUUUAUGCAAUUACAUAAAGUUUUGAUACUUUUGUGUAUUUGCACUUUGGCCCAAAAGUUUACGUUUUUACGUUUAGGUCCAAAAACGCUAAAGGACAAAUUGUUUUGAUCCUUUAAUGAAGUUUUUGCAUUGAUUAAAUUUUGGGUUCUAAUGUAAUUACAUGAAGUAGUGGACUUUUGUGUCUUUACAAAGUGACCCCAAAAGUUUUGCAAUAUAGCCCAAAAGU
rnacentral:lncRNA from 1 species